UACACAAAAAAGACAUACCCCACCGCAGCCCAAACCCUAGCUGAAAUGCCAUCCCCACAUUGCACCCUUCCUCCCUCGUCCCCAUCUCCUCGCCGCCGCCGCCACCUCCUCCCCGUCCCCGCCCCCCUCCCGAUCCAGUCUUCUCCCUGCCUCUCCCACCCAUCGCCGAUCUCGCCGUCCUCCUCACCCACCGUUCCCCGUUCCACAGACCUCCCCGUUCCUUGUUCCCCUCAAUUUUCCACCUCUCCCAUAGGAUCCACAUCCAGGAGAGCUCCCUCUCAGAUCCAGAGCCUCCACCUGCAGCGGCGUUGUUGCCGUCACGGUCGAGGGUUUGCGCGCGCGCAUGGUGGGUGUUCUAAUUUGGCCCUGCUCGGCUCUGGCGGCGUUGUUUAAUUCGGCGGUGGCGACCUCUGGUGACAAAGCGGGAGUGGGGAGAUGGUGGCGGCGGCAGCCGUGUGCGCGUCGCGGAGGUCUUUCAGGGAUUCGCUGAAGGUGCUCGAGUGUGACAUCCAGCACGCCAACACACUGUGAGUACCCUCCCGUGAACAAAAGGAAUCCCCUGCCUCGAUUUCUCUAGUCUAGGGUGUGCCGUUUUUGACUGAAUCCGUCUGUCUCCGGUGAACUGCUGCCGUAGGGCGUCGGAGUGAUCAAGGCCGACGGCGCCACGCAUCAAUCCAGCACGCGGGUCACACUCCACAGGUGCGAGUGGUCGCACGCGUACGGCCGGGUGGUGGCGAUGGUGCCGCGGGUGGAGAAGCUCGCCGCCGGCCGCGCGCGGUUGGAGGCUGUGAGCGCACUGCAACACGAGUCCUGGAAGCCCCGCGACGUCCAAUGGCAUUGUGGCGCCUCCUCAAGGUGACCCCUCCUUCCACUCCACUCCACUUCUCCUCUUUAUCCUAGGGUUUGGUUUCGGCUCCACUCUGAUGCUGCUGACAAGCGUGUGCGUGUUAUGUCAGGCGGGUGAGAACAUGCAGAUGUGGGAUGCGACGUGCAUGGGUAUGGCACAGUAGCCCUCCGGUGACGGCCGGGUGUUCGCCGGUAAGAGGAUCAUUUCCUCUAUCUGCUACUCUGCUUCCUAUCCUACUACUAGCACCACAUUAUCACUGUUGCUGUAUUGUUGUAUUCAGGAGCUAUUUUUUUGCUUUCUUACGAUCCGAUUCAGAGGCGUGACAUGCCGGUUUUGUUUGAUUAAGGACUCACUCGACAACGUAUUCCGCUUCCGCGGUCCAUUUUAUUCCACUCUAGUUGUUCACCUAAGUAGGAAGCCAAAUGUGAACUUUUUAACUAGUUAACCAAGAGACACUAAAGAGCAUUUUUUAACCAGUUAAUCAUAUCACCUAAUCCUUACAAAAUCAGGAGGCUACGGACUGAUAUCCUUGUCUGAUGCAUUCAAUGUAUAGAACCCCUAAAGAGUGAAAAUGAGGAUUUGAAAGAUUUUAUACAAGUCUUGGAGCCGGAGAACGAGAAGCUUAAGGUAGCUUACCGAAACAUAAGUUGCAUCUCAGCUGGCUUGUGCACCCCCUCAAUUUUCUGAACUCUUAUUUUGUGCUUCUUAUAAAGUGAUAGCAGCAAUUUUCCCGGUGGCAAGAGCGCGCGGGCGAUGAGGCGCGGCAGAGAGCUGCUCGCGACGACGGAUGGCCUCACUCCACACGUGCGUGAUUAUGGCUGAAAACCCUCGCCUGAAGCUGUAAUCUGUUCUUUUACCACUAGAUCCGAGCCCACACACCGAGUUCGUCGCCGUCGCCCAUCGUCGUACGCUUGUGUUCGUACGUCUAGUCUAGCCUGCGAUUGAUGUACACUUGUGUUUGUCCGUCUAGUCUAGCCUGCGAUUCGGUUUGUUGGUUGGGUUCAGUAGCUAGUUGCUUGUCCCUGUCUAACUGAGCACGAGGCCUUUUUUCAUGCACUGUAUACACAUGCAUGCUUAGUUGAUGCAUAUCUGAUGCUCAAACUGUAAUUGCAAGGCACUGUGUGUCUGCGUUUCAGAUCGAUGCCACUUGAAUUUUCUUUCUUUCUAGGAUACCCACAAGCUUUUGUAUCAUAUAUUCAUAGAAGAAAGUGUCAGACACCCGUUGACCGGAUGCGACUUGAUUUAUGUGCUGUGGUUGCCAAUUUUAAAACCACUUAAUUAAUUCAUGGGUUGCGGUUGAUUGUUGUCGCGGUUGUCAAACAAAGUUAUACUAUCCGACAUGCCUAAUUUUCAUGUGUGUUCGUCAUAGGCUGCCAAGAAUCUUGUAGCUGUGGCCGUGGCACCUUGAGUCUCUAGUAUUUUUUAGUAAUGUUCAGUAAUGUUCACGUUUUGUCUAAUGGAAAGAAGACUACUAGUCUCGGUGAUGUGAUCUCAAGUACACUGCAGAAUAAUUAAGUAACGCAUCCGUUUUUAAAUAUAAGCCCUUUUUUACAGUUUAAUUUAAACUGCCAACACAAUACGUAUGUUUAUGAACAGAGUUAGUACUGUACCAGUACGACAAAUUCCUUUUAGAUUAGUCUCACUCUUGCAUGUUGGUGUCGCAUUCUUCUACAAGGGAGUAUUUUUCUGCGAGGUGUCGUGUUAGGGUGUGUAUGGGUUGCUCCUUCUGGAGUAGGUAGCUGGACUUCGAAGAUUUGGUGCGUCCUGCUGAGCUUGUGCUCCCUGAUUUUCCACUGAUUUCUUGGUGGAGAGGGAGGCAUGCCUUGUUUGUUUGAUCCGUAGGUUUAGCACUUAGGUACACUCCAGAGAAGCAUCUAAUCUGUUAUGUGUUGUUUUUGUUAUGUCAGGCUAAUCUGGGGACCUAUUUCUGUUGUCCUCUACGAUAGCAAAUAAUGCCUAACUUUUGGUCUUCACCCUAGCUAGACCUUGUCUAGAUAAUUCCAUAUUGCAAAAUACUAGCAGAGCAACAACAACAGUAUCUUUUUUCUAGAUAAUUCCACCUAGUUCUGAUGGUUAAAUAUUCAUAGUCAUAGUGAGUGUCCUCCAUUCCAUCAUCAGUCUCUAACAAUCUACUUACUGGAGCCAGGAAAUUGGAUUAAUAGCUCUCAGUCUCUUGCCUCCAUACGGGGGUUGAUUUCCCUCUUACCUCAUUCGUCUCGGUUCUGUUGUAUAAUGCAGCCUGAUUAGCUAUCUGUCAUUUCCAGUAAAAAAUCACACAUGACUCGUGAGAUGUACAGUUGUAAAAAUAUGAAAGAAGUAUAAAUUUACCCACUAUUCCAAGCUGGGCCUAAUACAAAUUUGUCAUUUUUUGUUAAAUAUUGUGCUUCAUGUUUAUUUGUGUUUCUGUAUAGCAUCGUCACAUCUGGCGGAGUGCUCCCUUUGUUGUUACAGCAGCUUUGUAUAGUUGCUUUUAAUUCAGAUUUGUCUAUUUUCUGGCAGAAUGUUCCCUUUCAACAAUAGCCUUCUUUAAUCUUCUUCGGGUUUCCAAGGGGGUUUUGUUCACGACAACCUUGGAGCAGGGAAAACUAACAUGCUACUAAAGCUAACAUGGUACUGAUCCUGAUACUCUUAUAAUUUUUGUGAAUGUAAUAUGUGUCUUGUAAAUGCUUUCUGGGUGCUAGUCCUGCUGUAUGUAAUUAUUUGUAAUAUUCAAGAGCUUGUUAGUCCUUCUAGGACACAGUUUGAUGGAAAUUCUUCGGAUCCUUUCAUUGUUUCGAUGGUUGAUGCAGCAGUUUCGUACUUGAUGUGUUUGUGCUUGCUUAGUUUAGCUAUUGUAUUUGUCGUGACCUUGCUGCCGCAACUGUGCUUUUCGGCCGGGUCGAACUAGUACUACAACUUUUGUUGUUGUAGCCCAUGCCUCAUGUUGGUGUGUAUUCUAAUGAAUAUUUUUCAACCUGAUGCAUGAUGAUCAUGAUUUUGUAGACAACAAGUACCAUUCCCCAUUAAAAAUCCUGAUGCAUGAUGAUCAUGGUCUCGUUUUUUAGAUCUGUUUUGCUGGUGCUUAAAGUUUGACAUGCGUGAAUGAACUCAUUCUUAUAGUUCUUUUUAUUUCUAUGAUCAAUUUCGUUAAAGUUUCACAUGUUAGUAUACUAUACAUUAAAAAAUCCUAGCUAGUGAGAAUAUUUUAGUCACACCAUAAACACAUAUUGGUUAGUGUUAGUCAUACUAUUUACGUGUUGUGUUUUCCACAAUAACAUGAUUAAUUAGGUUCCAUCUUCAGCUUUAACAUCUUCUUUCAAAGGUUCUCAUCGAUUUUUACCGUCAACCUGUAUAUAUUAUACUAUUUUGUUUUCUAUUUUGUUCCUCAUUGGCUACUAUUUUGUUCUUAUUUUUUGCAUAGGUGAAAUGUGAAGCCAAGCGUGAAGUCAUGAAGCCUAUAUGCAAAGAGUAGCAUAUCAUGUAUUGUAAUAGUAGGCUGUAGUAGGCAUAUUUGAGUUGUAGUAGUGUAAAGAUUAUAAUAGACUAAUUUAGUGUUUUUUUGGACGAAUUUUAUAAGUUCUGUGAUCUGUUCAAAAUAUUGAUUUCGUAUGUGAUUUGUAUACCUAUGAAAUGGAAACCUCACAAAUUGUUUGACAAAUUACAAAAUUUAUGGUGUCAACAUGAAUUAUGAGAUCAGCAUGACAUGUGGGACCAAUGUGACUAGUGGGACCAGUACAAAAAUAAAAUGGCCAAAAAAGAAAAUCAAUAGAAAGUAAAAGGCCACAACCCAAAAUAAAAAGGCUAAAAUGUUGGGGAUUAUUGGGCCAGUCCC
rnacentral:lncRNA from 1 species